rnacentral:rRNA from 1 species
GACGAACGCUGGCGGCGCGCUUAACACAUGCAAGUCGAACGGAAAGGCCCUGCUUUUGUGGGGUGCUCGAGUGGCGAACGGGUGAGUAACACGUGAGUAACCUGCCCUUGACUUUGGGAUAACUUCAGGAAACUGGGGCUAAUACCGGAUAGGAGCUCCUGCUGCAUGGUGGGGGUUGGAAAGUUUUGGCGGUUGGGGAUGGACUCGCGGCUUAUCAGCUUGUUGGUGGGGUAGUGGCUUACCAAGGCUUUGACGGGUAGCCGGCCUGAGAGGGUGACCGGCCACAUUGGGACUGAGAUACGGCCCAGACUCCUACGGGAGGCAGCAGUGGGGAAUAUUGCACAAUGGGCGGAAGCCUGAUGCAGCAACGCCGCGUGCGGGAUGACGGCCUUCGGGUUGUAAACCGCUUUCGCCUGUGACGAAGCGUGAGUGACGGUAAUGGGUAAAGAAGCACCGGCUAACUACGUG